CUCUCGGCAAUGGAUAUCUCGGCUCUUGCAUCGAUGAAGAACGUAGUGAAAUGCGAUACUGGUGUCAAUUGCAGAAUCUCUGAACCAUUGAGUCUUUGAACGCAAGUUGUGCCCGAGGCCUU
rnacentral:rRNA from 1 species